GGAUGAACGUUGGCGGUGUGCCUAAUACAUGCAAGUCGAACGAAGAGAGUAGCAAUACAAUCUUAGUGGCGAACGGGUGAGUAACGCGUUGGUGAUCUGCCUCGAAGUGUGGAAUAACCUCCCGAAAGGGAAGCUAAUACCGCAUGGUCUCUCAGGGUUUAGAAAUCUGAGAGUAAAGGAUUUAUUCGCUUCGAGAGGAGCCUGCGUCCUAUCAGCUCGUUGGUAGGGUAACGGCCUACCAAGGCUAUGACGGGUAGGGGACCUGAGAGGGUGGCCCCCCACAAUGGAACUGAAACACGGUCCAUACACCUACGGGUGGCAGCAGUAGGGAAUAUUAGAAAUGGGCGAAAGCCUGAUCUAGCAACACCGCGUGUGCGAUGAAGGCCUUCGGGUCGUAAAGCACUUUCUGGAGGGAAUAGGAAGGAAGGUACCUCCAGAAUAAGUCUCGGCUAACUACGUGCCAGCAGCCGCGGUAACACGUAGGAGGCAAACGUUAUCCGGAUUCACUGGGCGUAAAGCGCGUGUAGGUGGUUCUGUAAGUAGGGCGUGAAAGCUCCCGGCUCAACUGGGAGAGGCCGUACUAAACUGCAGAGCUAGAGGAUGGUAGAGGGAGGUGGAAUUCNNGGUGUAGUGGUGAAAUGCGCAGANAUCUGGAGGAACACCAGUGGCGAAGGCGGCCUCCUGGACCAUUCCCNGACACUCAGACGCGAAAGCUAGGGUAGCAAACGGAAUUAGAGACUCCGGUAGUCCUAGCCCUAAACGAUGCAGACUAGGCGUCGGCGGUUUAAUCACCGUCGGUGUCCAAGCUAACGCGAUAAGUCUGCCGCCUGAGGACUACGGCCGCAAGGCUAAAACUCAAAGGAAUUGACGGGUCCCCGCACAAGCAGCGGAGCGUGUGGUUUAAUUCGAUGCUCCGCGAAAAACCUUACCUGGGUUUGACAUAACAGUGGUAGAGAAGUGAAAACGGACCGACCCCUCGGGGAGCUGUUACAGGUGUUGCAUGGCUGUCGUCAGCUCGUGUCGUGAGAUGUUCGGUUAAGUCCGCUAACGAGCGCAACCCGCGCUGUGUGUUACAAGUGUCACACAGUACCGCCGGUAUUAAGUCGGAGGAAGGUGCGGAUGACGUCAAGUCAGCAUGACCUUUAUAUCCAGGGCUACACACACGCUACAAUGGUCAGAACAAUAGGUUGCCAAGCCGCAAGGCGGAGCCAAUCCUCCAAAUCUGGCCUCAGUUCAGAUUGCAGGCUGCAACUCGCCUGCAUGAAGUCGGAGUUGCUAGUAACCGCAGGUCAGCAUACUGCGGUGAAUACGUUCCCGGGGAU
rnacentral:rRNA from 1 species